rnacentral:rRNA from 1 species
UACAGAGGGUGCGAGCGCUAAUCGGGAUUACUGGGCGUAAAGCGCACGUAGGUGGCGACGUGAGGCGGGUGUGAAAGCCCCGGGCUCAACCUGGGAAUUGCAUUCGAGACUGCAUUGCUGGAGUACGGAAGAGGAGGGCGGAAUUCCCGGUGUAGCGGUGAAAUGCGUAGAAAUCGGGAGGAACAUCAGUGGCGAAGGCGGCCCUCUGGUCCAGUACUGACACUCAAGUGCGAAAGCGUGGGGAGCAAACAGG